GCAAGUCGAGCGCACCUUCGGGUGAGCGGCGGACGGGUUAGUAACGCGUGGGAACGUACCCUUUUCUACGGAAUAGCCUUUGGAAACGAAGAGUAAUACCGUAUACGCCCUUCGGGGGAAAGAUUUAUCGGAAUUGGAUUAGCCCGCGUUAGAUUAGAUAGUUGGUGGGGUAAUGGCCUACCAAGUCUACGAUCUAUAGCUGGUUUGAGAGGAUGAUC
rnacentral:rRNA from 1 species